rnacentral:rRNA from 1 species
AACGAACGCUGGCGGCAGGCUUAACACAUGCAAGUCGAACGGGCACCUUCGGGUGUCAGUGGCAGACGGGUGAGUAACGCGUGGGAACGUACCCUUCGGUUCGGAAUAACCCAGGGAAACUUGGGCUAACACCGGAUACGUCCGCAAGGAGAAAGAUUUAUCGCCGAAGGAUCGGCCCGCGUCGGAUUAGCUAGUUGGGUGGGGUAAUGGCCCACCAAGGCGACGAUCCGUAGCUGGUCUGAGAGGAU